rnacentral:rRNA from 1 species
AAUAUUGCGCAAUGGAGGGAACUCUGACGCAGCGACGCCGCGUGAGCGAUGAAGGUCUUCGGAUCGUAAUGCACAGUCCUUGGGGAAGCAGGGAGCCGUAAGGCUUCUUGACGGUACCCAUGGAGGAAGCCCCUGCGAACUACGUUCCAGCAGCCGCGGUCAUACGUAGGGGGCAAGCGUUGUCCGGAAUUAUUGGGCGUAAAGGGUGCGUAGGCGGCCCUUUAAGUCAGAUGUGAAAGCCCACGGCUUAACCGUGGGACUGCAUUUGAAACUGGAGGGCUUGAGUGUCGGAGAGGGCAGUGGAAUUCCCAGUGUAGCGGUGGAAUGCGUAGAUAUUGGGAGGAACACCAGUGGCGAAGGCGACUACCUGGACGAAAACUGACGCUGAGGCACGAAAGCUAGGGGAGCAAAC